ACCCGCGAACCUGGAAAUGGAGCCUAGGGGCUGAGGUUUUGCGCGCCUGGUUCCAAGGGCCACUCCCCGUGUGCUCUCCUCUUUCCUGCGCCUCAGCCGCUGCCGUCCCCCCACCCCCAAGGGACUUUUGUGAGGCAGAAACGCAUCCUAUACUCGGGGGAUCCUGUUUCCUUUCAAAACGCCUUUCCAGGCUUGCCCGUUCCCGGCUUUCUGGGCGCGGGGACCAGAAUUAGAAGCCACUGGGGCGGGAGCCAGGGCUUUUCUCUGUCAGAUGGUUCUUGCGAGGAACCCCUAAGCGAUACGAAAGGAAACUCUUCUUUCUUCUUUUCCCUAAAGACAUGGCGUGAUUCAAACGUAUCGUGAUUUUUGUCAUCUUUCAGACCACUGCUGUCCAAGAGAAAUAUAACGCCAUCCAACUGUGUAAUUUGGAAGUUUCUCAUAGGCACAUAAGCUUAAAAAUUUUAAUGAUAUACUUUAUUUAAUCCAAUAUAUCCAAAGUAAGAUUUCAACAUGCAAUCAAUAGAAAAACUAAAUGCGAUAUUUUAAUUCUUUUGAAAAUCGUAUGUGUUUCUGAAACCCGGUGUAGUGUUGACUUGCAUAUGUCUCAAUUCGGGCCAUCCCUAUUUCGAGAGGUUAGCGGCCACCUGCGGCCAGUGCUGUCUCAUCAGGGGACACAGGCAGCAUGAUUAUUACUAUUAUUAUUAUUGAGACAGUCUCGCUCUGUCACCCAGGCUGGAGUGCGGUGGCCCGAUCUGGGCUCACUGCAACCUCCACCUCCCGGGUUCAAGCGAUUCUCCUGCCUCAGCCUCCCCAGUAGCUGGGACUACAGGUGCGAGCCACCGCGCCCAGCCCACAGGCAGCUUUAGAUGGUCUAGCAGGAGCUCAGCACAUUCAGUUAGAUUCUUUUUUUGAGAUGGGGUCUCGCUAUGUUGCCCAGAUUAUCUGGGACUCGUGGGCCCAAGCAAUCCUCCCACCUCCGCCUCACAGAAUAGCUGGGACUACAAACGGGCACCACAACGCCCUGAGUUUGAUUCUUGAGUCCCCUUCUGUGGGCAAUAUGGUUAUAAACUUGAUGAGGAGCCAGGCCAUACAAAUAAUAAUACAGAAUGCUACAUAGUCAGGUGGUGAAAUAGUAGGUGCUACGGGCAAGGAGAAGGAGAUCAAUUUUGUUAAGGAAAGCACUCUUGGCUGCAAUUUCUGUUGAAAGUUUCUCAAACAUUAAUUCAACUUAAUGAAGUGGGAUGCUAUUAUAUUAGAGAAAUGGCUAAUGUUUGUUCUUCAGGUGGUCUUGUCUUGAGGUGAUGGGGUUUAUUAGAGCUUUCCGGAAAGAAGGGGCAAUAUUCUUACUCUCUCCUCUCACAGUUUUUCCCCAGACUCCCAGGAACAGAGAUGGAAUUUCACAUCUUCUGCUCUGGGAAAGUCACAUUAGGCAGAACCUCAGAUCCUUAAAAUAAGGGACUUCUUUUUGGGAAGUCUCUGGUCAUUUACCCUGGUACACAUUAACUGGGUUAUCUGCAAACUAGGACUGCCAACAUUAGGAGUAAUUGUGUUCAGAUAAAAUGUCUCUAGACUUGAUACAUCUGUACUCCAACCAAAAUGAUAAAAAAAUUUAAAAUGACCAGAAUGGCCCUUUGUGGUGUGAGCAUAAUAGAUGCUUGCUGUAGAGACACAGGUGGGAAGGAGCGAGCCAGCAGUGAGUGAUGGGGAGGACAGAGGGGAUCAUGGUGAUGGGAUGUGUAGAGGAAGGAUUGGGUGAGAUGAAACACUUCAAAUAAUGUGCUAUUUGGAAAACAUUUUAAAACCAUAAAUACCUCACAGAUCUAGGGAAUGUAUAAUCCAGGUGUUACGUCACUAUGACAACAAGUAGUUGUAGCUUCAUUUACUAGAUUGGGCCUCUAUUCUUUUUUGUGUUUUUUGAGACGAAGUCUUGCUCUGUCACUCAAGCUGGAGUGCAGUGACGCGAUCUCGGCUCACUGCAACCUCUGCCUCCUGGGUGCAAGUGAUUCUCCUGCCUGAGCCUCCCGAGUAGCUGGGACUACAGGCGUGCAUCACCACGCCCGCCUAAUUUUUGUAUUUUUAGUACAGAUGGGGUUUCACUAUGUUAGCCAGGUUGGUCUCGAACUCCUGACCUUGUGAUCCACCCGCCUCGGCCUCCCAAAGUGCUGGGAUUACAGUCGUGGGCCACCGUGCCCAGCCAGGGACCUCUAUUCUUUGAACUACAAGGCAAGGUCAUCCUCCCACCCCCUUAUCCAUUCAGUGAACAUUUACUGAGGCGUUACUCUGUAAAGAACCCUGAGAGAGACCAGGCUGAGUAAGACAGGCUUUACUGCCGAUUUACUUCCAAUAUGCUCGCUUUUCAUCUCUGACAUUCUGUGGUCUUAUGAAAAUGGAAAUGGAGACAAAAAGAUCAUGGUGCCCCCAGUCCCAUGGUCAUUUCACAUUCCAAUUUCUUCUUAGUUGUACUUUUGAAUUAAUUUUAUUUCACUUUGUCCCUUUUUUUCCUUAUUUGCUUUUUUAAUUUCUUCUCUUCCUCUUCCUGGGACAUCAACCAUCCAAUUUAACCUUUCAUCCUCCCCUACUACCUAAUCCUUGAAAAAUACAAGUCCAAAAUCAUUUCAUCACCAGUAAUUGUCUUUAAAUUGCUCCAAUAAUUUGCAAGGACCAAGGGGAAAAGAGAAAGAUUAAAAAGCCAAAUGCCCAGAGAAACAGAUUUUAUAAAUAAUCUAAAAUCUAGUAUACUUAUUCACCAUCAAUGCCAUCAAGCUUUUAAAACACCCUCAUAGUCUGGAAUAAAUCCAAAUUAUGAGAAAAACAUAUAUGGAUUUAAAAAUUGUUUCCUUCUGAGCCUACUGUGAGUCUUUUAGGGGGAUAAAAAAGUAAAAAGUAAAAUAGAAAAUUACUGUUGCCUGGUUACUUAGCUCUAAAGAGAAACGGAGAAAUAAUGCCCAUGUCCCAUCCCAGUUUAAAUGAAUUCAGGUAGAGUAGCCCAUGACAGCAAGCCCUUGGCACACAUGCCAUCACAUCUGGCCUUUGAAAUGUCUAUAGAGAUAGUAGAACCCUAGACCUAGGGAAGACUUAGGGAGGUUUCAUACAGAAAGAAUGACAUUUAAACCAUCCCAAACAGCACAGAGUCUUCACAAUUUCUGAAGACCAUCAGAGAAGAAUAUUUAUUUUCUAUUUGCAAGUAACUACUCCUCCCCAUUUGAAAAUUUAGCAAGCCUGAUCUUAAGUAAAUUCUUUACAAAUCCUCCUUUAUUCAAGUGAAUUUCCUCUUUUUAGCUACCAGUAUGUAACUUUUAUAAUCGUGAAGUCAUUAAAUGUCCCUUCUGCCUUUUCUGGCAUCAACCUAUGAGCUUUAUUUCUUAAUUACUUUUUUUUUCUUUUUGGUUUUAACAUUUUCUUUCUAGCUUCUUCAAAUUUUUUUCAUUUUUAAAAUUGGAGACCAGAACUGGACAGUUCCUCUCAACAGGGCCAAAUCAGAUUCUUUUCUUUUUUUUGGAGAUAGAGUUUUGCUCUUGUUGCCCAGGCUGGAGUGCAGUGGCGUGAUUUUGGCUCACUGCAUCCUCUACCUCCCAGGUUCAAGUGAUUCUCCUGCCUUAGCCUCCCAAGUAGCUGGGAUUUCAGGCAUGCACCACCAUGCCCGGUUAAUUUUCUAUUUUUAGUCGAGAUGGGGUUUCUCUAUGUUGGUCAGGCUGGUCUUGAACUCCCGACCUCAGGUGAUCCACCCACCUCAGCCUCCCAAAGUGCUAGGAUUACAGGUGUGAACCACCGUGCCUGGCUUCUUUUCUUUUCUUUUCUUUCUUUAAACCAGGUUAUUUUCUACACAACAUUUUUGUAGAGGUAUGUAUCCUCAAUACUGUGUUUGCUGCAUUGCAAUGUCAUUCCCUUCUUCUAUGUGCUAUCCCAUUUGUAAUCUUAUUCCAUUUUUUUUCACGUGUUUGGCUUUCUACUUAGUGGCUCCCAUUUAAUAGCUGUAUGUUUUUUAGCCCGUUUCUCCAGAUUGAAGUUUUUGAAUACAUACAUGCAAGGUACAGUGUGAAAGCCCUUCGUAUGCAUUAUUUCAUAUAAGCCAUGCAACUCAUUUUAUUAAUGAAGAAACUGAGGCUUAGAGAGGUCAAAAAACUUAUUCAAGACCACACACCUAAGAAGUAGUAGAGCAGUGAUUUGAACUUUGGCAGUCUAACUGCAGUAACUACACUCUUAACAUAACUAUUCAAUUGUUAAGAUCAUAUUAUUUGUGUAGCAGGCUCUCAAACCAAUAGAAAAAGCUUGGGAUCCCUGUUAAAAAAAACCUGAGAAAGCCUGGGCUAGGGUUGCCGGACUUAACAAGUAAAAAUACAGGAUACCCAGUUAAAUAUGAAUUACACAUAAGCAACAAAUACUUUGGUAUGAGUAUGUCUCAUGCAGUGUUUAGGACACAUAGUACUUAGACUAAAAAUUGUACAUUGUUGAAAUUCAUAUUUAACUAGGUAUCUUAUGUUUUAUCUGGCAACCCUAAGCUGGGCAGCUUUCCAGAGUAAAGACUGGGAGUUCGUCCACUGAACUGAUAUCAAAAUGAAUUUUGGUUCACUUGAAAAUAUCUUUGUCCUUUGGAGCAGAAUUGCAGUGGUGUGUGAACUGUUUAAAAUGAUAAAUCUCUAUAGCACCUACCAAGAAUUAUGCCACGUUCACAAAUUCUGUAUCGAUAAUGGGGAUAGAUUUUCAUCUGUUUAUUUUUAGAGAGAUCUUGUACUUAACUCACUAGUCUGGGAUGUUUUAUUUAUGUCACCUAAUAUUAACUAUUGCUAAAUUUCACUUUAAUAAAAAAGUAGAUACAAAGACUCAUUUUACUUAGCAAGACUGCAAAUAAAACUAAGACAUAAAUUCACAUGUUAGUAUUGUCCAAAACAAUUCCUCCAGCUAUCAACCCACGGCAAUCAAUCCAGCAGUAUCAUUUAUAGAAUGAUUACUAAAACAAGAAUCAUUUCUCAGUUACAAAUGGGGUCAUUAAGCCCUUGGGGCUCUUUGAAAGUAGAAGUAGUUUGCCUACUUAAUCAUCAGUCUACACAAAGGCAGAAAUAAAAAGGAAUGGAAAUACAAACACAAAAUGAUUGGUUAUUACCUGUUUUAUAAGGAAACAAGAAAAAAAAAACAGUGGCUAGAAACAACAAAAAAGCAGUGGCUGGAACCCUACUGAAUAGAGCUUAAAGAAGUACUGGUUACAUUCACAGACACAGUAGCCACUAGCCAAGAUAUAGUUUAUCUCCAUCAAACUUAAAUAGAUAAAGUCAGUAAGUAUGACCAUCUUACUUUCACUAUUUACGCUCUUUAAAUAGUAAAGGUAUCGGUUUGAAAGAUACAUAGAACCAUAGGAACAGUGAAUGAUCAUUUAUAAAACAGCUCCUUUUCCUGAAUCAAUAUAUUGCUAAAAUUCUUUCAGUAACCCUCCCUUUUUAUAUGAUCACAGAUCCCUCCACAUCUAUUUUAUUUUAGUUAUAUAAAAAUUAUUAAUAAACUUUGGUUUCCUUGCAUUCGGUCCUUAUAUUUUAAAAAGUGAUUAAAAACAGUACUGAAUAUGAAUCACUUCUGCAAAGUUUAAUGAGUGAGAAACAUUCAACCAAGGUGAUUUUUCCUUGGAAAACCCUACAAAAACUGAAUUUUAUAAACAGUUACUUAUUUUGAUAGAUGUUCCAUUUAUAAAUAGCAGCCAUUACUUCACUGUCUACAAAAUUGCAGGCUGUCACAUUUUACAUGUUUAGAAUUCAAAUGUUUUAAGAUUAGAUUUUCUAGUAAGAGUUAAAAUAAAAACAAAGUUACACAGACAGGUUAGUUGUCCUAUGCAAAUAAAACAGCUGAUUUUCAUGAUUUUGCUAUUUAGACAGAUAAGAGACAACCAUUGGAUUGACACUAAUGUGUAGGAUAACAUAUUUUUUGUUUAAAGAGGAAAUGAUAGAAACUUGGGGUGGGGCAGCUGCAGCAGGACUUGACUCUACUGAGGCUCUUCUGUGCUCAUGGGACAAGCUAUCGCAGGAUGUUAGUACCGGAGAGGCCCUCAAGUUAAGACCUGAGCAAAGUGUGCUAUUCAGAGAAGCUGAGCUAUCCCUGCUCCCGGUUCUACUGUGGUGAAUUGGUGUUUUCUGAGGUCUAGGCAACAAGAGCUCAGAGUAGAAGGAGUAGACAUUUUCGGGAAGUGGGAUGCUGGGCAUGUCAUGUUGCUCUAACAAGUGAUUAAUAGCACGGAAAUGGGAGGAAGAUGAAUGUAUUUUAAAUGGAUACUCCCUAUGCUAGUCUUGGGAAAUGACCUUCUUUUCUUGAGACGGAGCCUUGCUCUAUUGCCCAAGCUAGAGUGGGAUGGCAUGAUCUUGGCUCACUGCAACCUCUGCCUCCCGAGUUCAAGCAAUUCUCCUGCCUCAGCCUCCCAAGUAGCUGGGAUUACAGGUGCCUGACACCAUGCCCGGCUAAUAUUUCUAUUUUUCGUAGAGAUGGGGUUUCGCAUGUUGGCCAGGGUGGUCUCGAACUCCUAACCUCAGGUGAUCCGCCUGCCUUGGCCUCCCAAAGUGCUGGGAUUACAGGUGUGAGCCACCGCGCCCGGCCAAGGGAAAUGACCACCUUCUGAAAGGACUCUGGAGCACAUUAAAAUCCAUCACUCCCAGGCACAUUUUGUUGCCUGCAAAAAGUGUGCCCAGGACCAGAAGUCCCAGGAGUCAGAACAGAGAAGGGCAACUUUGAAGUAAGGGGAGCUAACACUGUAUCUUUCUAGGCAGGCUCAAUGCUCCCAAAACUUCUGAGCAAGCUGGCCCAAGCUCUGGGACCAUUCCUUAAACCAGAAGUCUGGGCAUGGGCCCAAAAAGAAGGCAGGGAUUGCUGCCAGAAAGGACCAUUCACAGAUUCACCUAGGGAAGAUGGGUAUAGGAGUUGGCGGGGGGGGGGGGUGGGGGGUGGGGGGUGGGGGUCAGCUCAUAACAGGGCCAAGUCCUAAGCCAGAGGUGGUCAUGGAGGGCACCAAUAUGCUUGCAAGUUAACUCCAGAUAGCUGCCCUCCACUUAAUUCUAGACACAACCCAUGGGCUAUACAGGUUGGACACCCCCUACCCCUCAAUCUCAGGAUAUAAGAAAAACCUUUUGUUCAAAUUUGCUCUCCCCAUCCUGAAUCUCCCAAGGUGACUCAAAAUGUUCUGACCUAGUAAUGAAAAAGAAAACCCUUUGAAUGGAUUUUGGCACAGCCAUUCCAACCUGGGGACUUGGGCAUGAACUCUGAUUUGCUCCACACAGCUGUCUCUGGAGACUGAAUGUUCAGCCUGACUUGCGUUGCUGCCUGCAGCCCUGGAUUUAAAAACACAGGCUACUUAGUGAAUAGAGUCCUUUUAUCACUAAGUCAGACCCACUCCCAGCACAAGCCACAGGCAUUAAGACCAGGACAUCUCUUGACUGAUCGUUCCUCCUCCUCCACACAUGGUGUCAGACCUCUUCACUACAGAAUCUCUACAAUAAUAGAAAGACACUUCAUCUCGAGGUGCACACAUAACCUGUCAGGCAGGUCCUGCAGUGGCUAAGAGAUAACAAGGAUCCCACUCCAGCAGCUGUUAAGACACUUGAGUUGUUUGUCCCUGUCUUCUUGAUGCUGAGUGGAACCAAUGAACAGAAUUUUUGAGAAGAAAAAAAAAAAACAAAUCACAGCAUAGGUGAAAAGAUGCCGAAAUAAUUGAGUUGUGGUGAUCAAGCUCUGACUCUAGAAAUGUAGUCAGAAACCACCACUCUGAGCCCUAGGGCAAGGAGCAAAGUGUAUACAAAAUCUUGCAAAACCUAGCACCAGUACUUCCUUAUGAGGGCUCAAGAAAGCACACCUCUAAAAUAACUCACACACAUGCAGACAAGAAUGCCAGGAAGGUCAAAUGUUCUCUGCAGCUGUUUCUUCACAGCUCUACUGGCAAACUCACAGGCACAUAUUUGCUCAGUUGCUGAGCCUCACCCACAGACAUCUCCUACCUUGGAGGCAGAGGUGAGAACACUGGACUGCAUUUUCCCAAGUAAGGGAAAUCAAAUGAGUUGGAGGUAACACUCUACAUUUCUCCCUCUCCUUAAUGACAGCAUCCCUAAUUAAGCCAGCCUCAAAGGAUAAAAUUAGUGUCUAGAGGUCAAAGGUCAAGCCCAUGAUUUACAAAUCUUAUUGGAAGUCAUAUAAACUGCUUACCUGAAAUAAAACCCCCCAUCAUCAGUCCCCACCCUCCUUUCCCUAGAAAGGGAGUGGAUUUAAGUUCAUUUCUUCUUUUUCACCACAGUAACUGGAAGACAGUCAGAGAAGGUAGUCGGGGAGGGAGGAACAUUCUGAUUCAUCUUAAAAAAUAAAGAUCUGCUUAAGUAUCAUUUGCAGUCAUAUCAAGUUUUUUUCAAUUCUCCUUAGUGGCCGUCUCCAAGGGUUCAUCUUCUAAGCCAAAGCUUAGCUUGUCAGCUAGCCCCUCAAACUGCUUGCUCACACUGCCCGCAGAGUCCAUGAACAUGUUAGGAAUGUCUUUGCCAAAGUAAAUCUUGCUGUUGGAAGCAAUGGCCUUGUACUUCAUCAGCUGCAGAUAUUCAGGGGUUAGCUUCAGCUGUUAAAAAAAAAAAAAGUAUGGAAGACUUAUGUUGAACCAUAUUAGAGAAGGAGGGGAGUGGUGCCCCUUCAAUUUUCCUAUAUUUAUGCCCCUACCUACUUUUUGUGGUCUCAUUGUUACAUUUCUGUAAGAGACAGUCAUCUCAGAUCUUGGAGCAUAGGUGCAAAAGUUAAAAGUUUCCAUGUUUAACACAAAAUUAAACUAAACUUCUAUCAAGGCAUGUCCAAGGAGAAGGAAAGUACCUGC
rnacentral:lncRNA from 1 species